UCCUUUGUAGUGUAAUGGCUAUCACGGUUCGCUUUCAAAUGAUUACAUCAUUGUAAGUUCCGAGCAGAUCGGGGUUCGAUUCCCCGCAAGGGAG
rnacentral:tRNA from 2 species